UACGGAGGGUGCAAGCGUUAUCCGGAUUCACUGGGUUUAAAGGGUGCGUAGGUGGGCAGGUAAGUCAGUGGUGAAAUCUCCGGGCUUAACUCGGAAACUGCCAUUGAUACUAUCUUUCUUGAAUACCGUGGAGGUCAGCGGAAUAUGUCAUGUAGCGGUGAAAUGCUUAGAUAUGACAUAGAACACCAAUUGCGAAGGCAGCUGGCUACACGAAUAUUGACACUGAUGCACGAAAGCGUGGGGAGCGAACAGG
rnacentral:rRNA from 1 species